rnacentral:rRNA from 1 species
UACAGAGGUGGCAAGCGUUGUUCGGAAUUACUGGGCGUAAAGGGCGCGUAGGCGGUCCCGUCAGUCCCUUGUGAAAUCCCCCGGCUCAACUGGGGAACUGCAAGGGAUACAGCGGGGCUUGAGUUCGGGAGAGGGAAGCGGAAUUCCGGGUGUAGCGGUGAAAUACGUAGAUAUCCGGAGGAACACCGGUGGCGAAGGCGGCAUCCUGGACCGGCAUUGACGCUGAGGCGCGAAAGCCAGGGGAGCAAACGGG